UUGGGUUUAAAGGGUGCGUAGGCCGUUUGAUAAGCGUGCUGUGAAAUAUAGUGGCUCAACCUCUAUCGUGCAGCGCGAACUGUUGAACUUGAGUGCGUAGUAGGUAGGCGGAAUUCGUGGUGUAGCGGUGAAAUGCUUAGAUAUCACGAAGAACUCCGAUUGCGAAGGCAGCUUACCGUAACGUUACUGACGCUUAAGCACGAAGGUGCGGGUAUCGAACAGGAUUAGAUACCCUGGUAGUCCGCACAGUAAACGAUGGAUGCUCGCUGUUGGCCUUUGUGGUCAGUGGCUUAGCGAAAGCGUUAAGCAUCCCACCUGGGGAGUACGCCGGCAACGGUGAAACUCAAAGGAAUUGACGGGGGCCCGCACAAGCGGAGGAACAUGUGGUUUAAUUCGAUGAUACGCGAGGAACCUUACCCGGGCUUGAACUGCAGCUGAACGAUUCAGAGAUGAUGAGGCCCUUCGGGGCAGCUGUGGAGGUGCUGCAUGGUUGUCGUCAGCUCGUGUCGUGAG
rnacentral:rRNA from 1 species